CGAACGGGUGAGUAACGCGUGAGGAACCUGCCUCAAAGAGGGGGACAACAGUUGGAAACGACUGCUAAUACCGCAUAAGCCCACGGCUCGGCAUCGAGCAGAGGGAAAAGGAGCAAUCCGCUUUGAGAUGGCCUCGCGUCCGAUUAGCUAGUUGGUGAGGUAACGGCCCACCAAGGCGACGAUCGGUAGCCGGACUGAGAGGUUGAACGGCCACAUUGGGACUGAGACACGACCCAG
rnacentral:rRNA from 1 species